GCAGCCUUACUCUCCUCUGUCCAGUUUUGAGUGUGAAAUCUGCAAAGGACUUCAGCAGAUAUUGCCCUCAAGAGACUGGCUGUUUAAAUGGACCAACAUGUAAUGCUGUGUUGACUGAUCUGAACAACUAACUCACAUCCCAAUUCAAAUGAUACUGUUCGUGGCAGGUUCUGGUUUAAUAAAGAUCCCAGCUUUUACCUGUUCUUACCUUAAAAAACAGGUCCUUCUGCUACAA